AACACAUCUCAGCUCACUAUGAAGAAAUAAAAACCCUAGAGACCCAACAGACAGAAGCCACUUCUGGCUCACUGGCUUAUGUAAUAGACAAGCUGUUUGAGGACUGUUCAAGCCUGGCGUUCUUUCUUGUGAAUACAGCCUUGAGGAGAACUGAAAAGUCUGGAUCUCAGGUCCAGUGGAUGCUCUCUGAAACCUCCUCCAUCCUCCAGGAUGUGGAAUUUUGAGCAGGAAUAGAAAUCACUGAGACCAGAAAAGAUCUUGGUGCUCCAGCAGGCUCCAUAAAACCUCCA
rnacentral:lncRNA from 1 species